rnacentral:rRNA from 1 species
GACGAACGCUGGCGGCGUGCUUAACACAUGCAAGUCGAACGGAAGGGCCUGCUUUCCCUUGUGGUUUGCGGGUACUCGAGUGGCUAACGGGUGAGUAACACGUGAGUGAUCUGCCCCCAACUUGGGUAUAAGCCUGGGAAACUGGGUCUAAUUCCCGAUAGGACUGCAGGGUGGUGCCUGUGGUGGCAAACGAUUUUCUAGUGGUUGGGGAUGAGCUCGCGGCCUAUCAGCUUGUUGGUGGGGUAAUGGCCUACCACGGCGGCGACGGGUAGCCGGCCUGGGAGGGUGGACGGCCACAUUGAGACUGGGACAAGGCCCAGACUCGUACGGGAGGCAGCAGGGGGGAAUAUUGGACAAAGGGCGGAAGCCUGAUGCAGCGACGCAGCGUGGGGGAUGACGGCCUUCGGGUUGUAAACUCCUUUCGACCGCGAGGAAGCCACGUGGUUGGAAGGGUGGUGACGGUAGUGGUAGAAGAAGCACCGGCUAACUACGUG